GUGCAGCACAUAUACUAAAAUUGGAAUGAUAUAGAGAUUAGCAUGACCUUUGCACAAGGACGAUGUGCAAAUUCAUGAAGUGUUCCAUAUUUUU
ensembl:snRNA U6 U6 spliceosomal RNA